rnacentral:rRNA from 1 species
AGAAUCAACGCUGGCGGCGUGCCUAACACAUGCAAGUCGAACGCGGUUACUCCGCAAGGGGUGACUGAGUGGCAAACGGGUGAGUAACGCGUGGGUGACCUACCUUCGAGUGGGGAUAACGUUUCGAAAGGAACGCUAAUACCGCAUGACAUCCUGCUUUUAGACAGGCGGAGAUACGAAA